ensembl:snoRNA
UUCCUUUUGCGGUUGAUAAGCAUGAUGAUUGGGUUUUCAUGCUCCCAUGUAAGAUGUGCCUCCCUCAAACCUUGUUACAGCACAUAACCAGUCCCACA